UACGUAGGCAGCGAGCGUUGUUCGGAGUUACGGGGCGUAAAGGGUGCGCAGGCGGUGGAGCAAGUCUGUUGUGAAAUCUCCCGGCUUAACCGGGAGGGUGCGGCGGAAACUGUUCUGCUGGAGUGAGGGAGAGGCAAGCGGAAUUCCUGGUGUAGCGGUGAAAUGCGUAGAUAUCAGGAGGAACACCCGUGGUGCAGACGGCUUGCUGGACCUCCACUGACGCUGAGGCACGAAAGCGUGGGGAGCAAACAGG
rnacentral:rRNA from 1 species